rnacentral:rRNA from 1 species
UAUGAAUUAUUCUUCAAACGUAAGGUCUUAUGACGAGACUGCGGUGGGUUAGGUUGUUGGUAGGGUAAUGGCCUACCAAGCCCAAGAUCCAUACGGGCCUUGAAAGAGGGAACCCGGAGAGGGACACUGAGAUACUGGUCCCAGCCCUACGGGGUGCAGCAGGCGCGAAACCUUUACAAUGCACGAAAGUGUGAUAGGGGAACUCAAAGUGCUCAUACACAGUAUGGGCUUUUGCCAACCCAAAAUUCGUUGGCGAAUAAGUGGUGGGAAGACUGGUGCCAGCCGCCGCGGUAACACCAGCGCCACAAGUGGGAAUCGGUAUUAUUGGGCCUAAAGCGUCCGUAGCAGGUCUGAUAAAUUGCUUGUGAAAUCGUAUAGCUUAACUAUGCGGAUUGCUGGCAACACUGUCAGACUAGAGACCGGGAGAUGUUGAAGGUAUUUAGAGGGGAGCGGUAAAAUGCGAGAAUCCUCUGAGGACCACCUGUUGCGAAGGCGUUCAACAAUAACGGGUCUGACUGUGAGGGACUAAAGCUAGGGGAGCGAACCGGAUUAGAUACCCGAGUAGUCCUAGCCAUAAACGCUGCGAGCUAGGUGUUGCAUAAUCUUCGGGAUUAUGCAGUAUCGUAGAGAAGUCGUUAAGCUCGCCGCCUGGGAAGUACGGCCGCAAGACUGAAACUUAAAGGAAUUGGCGGGGGAGCACCACAAGGGGUGCGGCGUGCGGUUUAAUCGAAUUCAACGCCGAGAAUCUCACCAGAUGCGACGGUAGGAUGAAAGACAGUCUGAAGGGCUUUCUUGACGAGCCGAGAGGUAGUGCAUGGCCGCCGUCAGCUCGUAUCGUGAGAUGUCCUGUUAAGUCAGGUAACGAGCAAGACCUGUACCCAUAAUUGCCAGCAAGCGUUAUACGUGAUUGGGCACAUUAUAGGAACUGCCUUGGAAACAAGGAGGAAGGCGCAGGCAACGGUAGGUCUGUAUGCUCCGAAUCUUCUGGGCUACACGCGCGCAACAAUGGUUAGGACAAUGGGAUGCAACUCCGAAAGGAGAAGCUAAACCUCGAAACCUAAUCUCAGUCUAGAUUGAGGGUUGUAACUCACCCUCAUGACAACGGAAUCCCUAGUAAUCGGUCUUCAUCAUGGACCAGUGAAUAUGUCCCUGCUCCUUGCACACACCGCCCGUCAAACCAACCGAGCAUAGCUUAAGUGAGCCCUGGUUUUUCGGCCAGUUCAAACUUGAGUUAAGUAAGGUGGGUUAAGUCGUCACAAGGUA